rnacentral:rRNA from 1 species
UACGACUACAUAUCAGGCAUAUCAAUAAGCGGAGGAAAAGAAACUAACAAGGAUUCCCUUAGUAACGGCGAGUGAAGCGGGAAGAGCUCAAAUUUGAAAUCUUCAAGGUUUUACCUUGACGAAUUGUAGUUUAAAGAAGUGUUUUCUGUUGGAGUUUUGGUAAAAGUUCUUUGGAAUAGGACAUCAUAGAGGGUGAGAAUCCCGUAUUUGACCAUUAUUUCCAGCUGUGUGAUACACUUUCAAAGAGUCGGAUUGUUUGGGAAUGCAGUCCAAAAUGGGUGGUAAAUUUCAUCUAAAGCUAAAUAUUGGCGAGAGACCGAUAGCGAACAAGUACCGUGAGGGAAAGAUGAAAAGAACUUUGAAAAGAGAGUUAAACAGUACGUGAAAUUGUCAAAAGGGAAGCGUUUGACACCAGUGUUGUUUUCUCGAAAAUCAAUUAAAAAUGAUGGGAUUUUGUGUUGUAUUGACUUUGUCAGCUUUCUGCACUUUUUUCUUAUCUUUUUUAAUGCACUUUUCGUUUAACAAGUCAACAUCAAUUUCUUUUGUGGUAAAAGAGUCAUUGGAAGGUGGCUUUUACUUCGGUGAAAAGUGUUUAUAGCCUUUGGCUUCUGCAAUCGGAGAGAUUGAGGUCUGCAGCGUAGAUCCUUCGGGGUUAGAUACAUUAGAUGCUAAGUUAUAGUUUUUCAUAGACAACUUGUUGACUAUGAUUAAUCAUGUAGCUUACUCGUUUGCGCUAUUUUACCUACGCUUAGGAUGUUGAAUCUGUGCGAGACUAC